AUACUCGUUCUGACAGCAUAUACAUUAGAAUGGAAAUGAUACAGAGAUCAGCAGGGCCUCUGUACUAGAAUAAAAAGUGGAUUCAUAAAGUGUUUCAGAUUCUG